AGUGUGUGCCAGCCGUCGCGGUUAGACGAUAAAUAUAAGUAUAAAUUUCAUGAUAAAAUUAUUUUAUUAAUUGACCUAAUUAAUUUCAAGGAAGAUUUUAAAGUAAAAUUUAAUUGUUAUUAAUUGAUUAAUUUUGUUGAUUGUAAUAAAUAGUAAAUUACAAUGUUAAACUAGGAUUAGAGACCCUAUUAUAAGUAAAAAAUGUUGUCUUGGGUAGUAUAAAUUUUUAAACCCAAAGAAUUUGGCGGUAUUUUAUCAGAUUAGAGGAACCUGCUAAGUAAUCGAUAGUCCACGUUUUAUCUUGCAUUAAUUUGUUAUCAGUAUGUAUACCUCCGUUGUAAGAAAGAUUUUUAAAAAUUCUUUUAUUAUUAAGAUAUUCAAAUACUUCAGGUCAAGGUGCAGCUUAUGUUAAUGUUGUAGUGGGUUACAAUAUAAUUAAAUAUGGGUUGUUGAUUGAAACAUUAAUUUUUUAAUUGGAUUUAUUAGUAAUUUUAUUUAAGUAAAAUAAAUUGAAUUUUGCCCUAAGAUGUGCACACAUCGCCCGUCGCUCUCUUGUAAAAUAAGAGAUAAGUCGUAACAAAGUA
rnacentral:rRNA from 1 species